GGGGCUGUUGGUGAGCUGUUGUACGUGUCAGUGCGUACACUGAAAUGGCAGAAGACCAUAUUGCAUGGGAUCAGGGCCAGUUCAGGUGUUCAAUCUGCCUGAAUCUACUGAAGGAUCCAGUGGCCAUUCCCUGUGGACACAGUUACUGUAUACGCUGUAUUACAGACUACUGGGAUCAUGAAGAUCAGAGGAGAGUCUACAGCUGCCCUCGGUGCAGACAGACCUUCACUCCAAGACCUGUUUUAGGUAAAAACGCCAUGCUGGCUGAAGUGUUAGAGAAACUGAAGAAGACAAAACUCAAAGCUGCUCUACCUACUGAAUGUUAUGAUGGACCUGAAAAUGUGGAGUGUGAUGUCUGUACUGGGAGAAAACACAAAGCUGUCAAGUCCUGUCUGGUGUGUCUGAACUCUUACUGUCAAAAUCAUCUUGAACAACAUGAGAACUUCUUCAAAAAUAAGAGACACAAUCUAAUGGAUGCCUCUAGACGGCUGCAGGAGAUGAUCUGCCCUCAACAUGAUAAACUGCUGGACAGUUUUUGUUAUACUGAUCAACAAUGUAUUUGUUAUGCAUGUACAAUGGAUCAACACAAAAACCAUAAGACUGUUCCAGCUGCAGCAGAGAGAACUAAGAAACAGGCACAUUUGGAGGAGACACAGAAAAAGUUCCGGCAGACAAUCCAGGAAAGACAGAAGGAGCUUCAGGAGCUGAGAGAGACUGUGGAGUCUCACAAGCGCUCUGCACAGGAAGCGGUGAAGGAGAGUGAGAGGAUCUUUACUGAGCUGAUCAGAUCCUUCAAGAGAAGCCGGUCUGAGGUUACAAAGCUGAUCAGAGAUCAGGAAAAGGCUGCAGUGGGUCGAGCUGAAGGACUCUUGGAGCGACUGGAGCAGGAGAUUGCUGAUCUGAGGAGGAGAGAUGCUAAACUGGAGGAGCUUUUACACACAGAGGAUCACGUCUAUUUCCUCCAGAGUUACCAGUCUGUCUCUGUCACUCGCAGAUUUACAAACUCAUCCAACAUUAUUAUCAGUUCUCCUCUCUCCUUUGAUGAUGUAAGAAAAUCUGUCUCUCAUCUCAAAGAGCAGAUAGAAAAGAUAACUGGGAAAGUAACACGCAUCAAGAUGAUUCCCAAUAUUGACCACAAAACCAGGCAGGCAUUCCUCCAACUUUGCUCGUUCCUGUUGUGUGUCCUCAACCUGGCAACACGCGUGAGCUUCGAAUCUGGGGAGGAGGGGGCGGGGGAGACAACUUUCUCCACAACAGAACAGAAUUUGGUAACAUGUACAUUUUGCAGUCAUUUUCAUAAAUAUUUUUUUCAGGAUUACUGUUCCAUUUUGUAUGUUUUAAUGACUUAUUUUACAAUUUGUGUAUUUCCCUUUUUCAUCUGGCUUAUGUCUUGGAUAGAGCCAAAGAUCCAAAUGAGAAUUUACUUCAACUGAGCCCAACCUAAACAUUAAUCAGAAGUGACUUUUGGUCUUUGGCCUUUGAUGAGUUGUAAUUGUCCGUUUCAAUGCAUUACUCAGCUGUUCACAUAGGGUUGAUGUAAAUGUAUCAGCAGUAAUAUCCUUCCAUAUCUUUCCAUUUCAAACAGAUUUCUAAUCAGUGUUUCCAACUCAUAGCUGCACUUGCAGCUUCACAGUUAUGUGGUGGUGACCUGGCUGCCACCAUUUGACAACAAUCCUCUGCCAGCUUUACCUGUUAGUAUCCUUUAAAAUAUGUGGUGAACACAAAAUACAAUGAUUUGCUAGCUGAAUAUUUUGUGCAGUACACAGGGAAUGAAUCACAAUAACUAUGGUUCACCAUGAUUCUCAUCCCAACUCACAGGAUGAUGCUGCAACCAAGGACUUUAUUUUACUCCCUUCAUGGGAGUUGAGGUACUGGAUUUUAUGUGUAAGUUACCUAUUUUUCCAUAUGUUGAUGUAAUGUAUAGAAUUGGGGUAUGAAUUUAUGUCAUUGUAUUUUUCCCCCAUUGCAGUUUUUUCCUUCUAGCCAGCCAUGCACCUUGUACAAUGUCCCUUGUAAUGGAAUGUCCCUUUCUUUUGUAAACUUGUUGUUUUACAGAUCCUGAAGCCAAAAAUAAAGGGAAAUUUAAUUUCUAGACUCCAUGAACCCUGUAAACUUUGGGCAUGGGAGCUACAUUAAGACUUUCAGGUUUUGCUUUCAGGAUAGCAAGUUCCGGUAUUUCCAGUUCUACUGUUCUGCGUUCAUACAAAUAAUACGCAUGUGUUUAUAGUUCAUACUAACACAAAACUCUGUCUGCACCAUUAUGUAAACGACUUGUUUUACCCUGUGAUAAUAAUUGUCUUUAUUCAUUUUUAAAUGAACAGCUUACAAUUUAAUGUUUUUUACAGGUGUGAAAAGAGACGGAAUAGUACUUUCGCUUGACUCCAAGAACCCAUGUGGUUUGGAGAUUGCUGUUAUCUUAAUGUUUUCAGGUUUUGCAUGGUUCUGUUCAGUUUAAUAUUGAGGGCAAUCUCCAGGUUUUUUUAUAUAUAGGUUUGUUAUCAUUCUUGUCUUUUGACCUGAAACACCUGGCUGUGCACUCAUGCCAGUGCCAUUAAUUGAUAAAUUCACUGAUAAGACAUAAAAGCCAGCUACACACUUCGGUCUUGGAUAACGAGUUUACCCAUUUUGACAUCUAUGGCAGCCGUUUGAGACCAUACUUUUACGUUUCAGCGAGUUCUGGUUAAUGUUUCCAGAGUUGGUAUUUUUACUAUUUUGUCAUAUAGUAAAACCAAACCACUGGCUGUAGCGAAGAGGGGUAGUUCUGUUUUACACCCCAAUUAUUGUUAUAUAUAUAUAUGGAGUAAUCCAGGGCUAAGUGUGCAUUAAAUUAUUUUAAUGCACGACAUGGAGGUGAAGAACCACCCGAAGUGAAGCCCACAGAUGUAAAAACAGGAGUGUUUAAUUCACACCUAGGCGUGGAUUACCCCGCUUAUUCCAUGGUCUUGCCACAAUUAAUAAAGUUAAAGCUGUCAUUGAUUUUGGGAAGACACUGUCAGUGUCUGUCUAUGUCUAUGCAAACUGACUGGAAUUACCUGUGCAGUAAACUGCUUUAAUGCACACCACCUUCCAGCGAAUCAGAAUAAAGUAUUGAGACUGACCAUGGUAUAAUACAAUAUGAUCAACUCAACUUUGUUUUCUGCAUACAUGUGACCGCUCCAGAAGAUAUAUUGUUGUAUAAUAAUUAAAUGUGCUGUGUUAUUGUUUUAUUAUAGAAUCUUGGCAAAUCAAGCCUUUAGACUAUGUCCUUACUGAGAGACUGUGAGGUACAGCUUUUAACUUAUUUGCAUGUAAACCAUUAUUAUCAUCAGUGGACUGUCAUCAUAUAAUACAUUCAGAGUACACUAUAUACUGUAUGUACAAUAUGGUCUUAUUCCACUCUUAAUUAACAGGUUGCACCACUUAAGCUUGGAGGGAAUGACUGUGUGAUAUUCAUGUUGAUGGUAAAUGGUCAUAUAAUUGCUAUACCAUUGUCUCUGUGUGUGCUAAACACUGCAUUUGUUUGUCACGGUUUUUAAAUCCUAUGUCUCUUCCUUGUCUCGUGCUUUGUUUAUUACUUGUGUGUGUGUGCGUGGAUGUGUGGGCGUGACGACUCGUUACCGUGAUCAGCGCUCAGCCGCAAUCACUCCUCUUCACCAGCUGUUACUCAUUUCAAUUCCCUUUAAAUACUCACCACUUUCUCAUCUCGUCAGAUCGUUUGUUUGUGAUGUCCGGUUGUGUUGAUCCCUCUGAGUUCCAGUCCAGUUCCCUCGUUGUCCCUGUUUCGUGUUCAGUUGGCUCUUACCCGGAUUCGUCGUGUUUGUUCAGCACUCCUCAUCACUCUUCUCACCCCAUUCAUCUGACCAUUGGAGCCCCUGCGUUACUAAACCUUCACCCCGGACUUUUCCCCAAUCUUCACAUUUUGUCUGUCAAUAAACUUAUUGUCACUUGCAACUUGCUUCCUAGCUUCAUUCGUGACAUUGUUAAUAUAACAUCAGGGUUUUGAUAUCCAUUAUGUGCAUUCCCAGUAUGCAAGUCAUUUGUAAUAAAAAAAAAAAAGCCAACAGUCAGUCACCAAACAAAUUAUCCAACCGGAUCUAAACAUUAAGGAGGUCACCCCAUCUGUGCCAGACGUCAUGGAGGUCACCCCAACUACAAGAAUCCAUGUAUGCACAGGGAAUGUUUAUGUAUUGUUUGACUAUUGUUUGUUUAUGUAUUUACCUUUCCUGUUUCAUAAAAGUGUUUGAGCAGCACUUGACUAAUGACAUUAUUAUUGAAAUGUCUUAUCUUUUUGCACAAAGGUCUCGGUGGUGAUGAAACCGAUUCUGCUCGCCUGUGACUGGGAGGAGGAGAACAGAACCCACUUGUAUGAUGCCAUGUUGGCCAUAACAAUGCGAGACCUGUUUAUUGACACCAUUUUCUAUGAAGGUGAAAUGGAUGAGGACAAAAAAAAAAAAAAAAGAGUUUUUCUUGAAGGAAAAAUAUGACAAAAGAAAUAUUUGUGUCUUGCCUGCACAACCCUCACUUUUAACAAGCUAACUGAUGGGGUAGAUCUGGGUAAAUAUUGUUUUGUAUUGUCUUGUAGUUUUGGUUUUUUAACCAAUUAAAGUUUUGUGGGGGGAAAAAGUGUUCUUGAAACGUAAUAUACUAAAACUCAAUUUUGUAUCUUAUAUCUUAUUAUACAUUUUUGUUUCUAGAUUGAAGAUUGAUUUUUAUGUUAGCUGUACAUUUUGCUAACAAAGGUUAAUAUAAAUAAAUAAAUACAGCAACACUUGAAGGCAGUGAAGUAUGUGACUAAUAAAUUGUACAUUAUGUAACACUUCCAGUCUACUAAUAAAUGUUCCUGGAAUGGUUGCCUUGCUACUAGUCUCGGAGCACACUUGUCCUCUUGAUUUUGUUCUUUAGUGUGACAUGUGGCUGCAGCCAUGAAACCAUGUGUGGCAGGGUGGAGGGCGGGGCCGGGUCGUGAUCAUACGCACCCGGUCGCAUAUUAGGCUAAUCAAGCCUCUGAGGUUUAAAGGUCGACUGCAGAGU